CAGCAGCCGCGGUAAUACGAAGGGUGCAAGCGUUACUCGGAAUUACUGGGCGUAAAGCGUGCGUAGGUGGUGGUUUAAGUCCGCUGUGAAAGCCCUGGGCUCAACCUGGGAAUUGCAGUGGAUACUGGCGAGCUAGAGUGUGUCAGAGGAUGGUGGAAUUCCCGGUGUAGCGGUGAAAUGCGUAGAGAUCGGGAGGAACAUCAGUGGCGAAGGCGGCCAUCUGGGACAACACUGACGCUGAGGCACGAAAGCGUGGGGAGCAAACAGGAUUAGAUACCCCGGUAGUCCCUGUCUUUAUACC
rnacentral:rRNA from 1 species